rnacentral:rRNA from 1 species
GACGAACGCUGGCGGCGUGCUUAACACAUGCAAGUCGAACGGAAAGGCCCUGCUUUUGUGGGGUGCUCGAGUGGCGAACGGGUGAGUAACACGUGAGUAACCUGCCCUUGACUUUGGGAUAACUUCAGGAAACUGGGGCUAAUACCGGAUAGGAGCUCCUGCUGCAUGGUGGGGGUUGGAAAGUUUCGGCGGUUGGGGAUGGACUCGCGGCUUAUCAGCUUGUUGGUGGGGUAGUGGCUUACCAAGGCUUUGACGGGUAGCCGGCCUGAGAGGGUGACCGGCCACAAUGGGACUGAGAGACGGCCCAGAAUCCUACGGGACGCAGCAGUGGGGAAUAUUGCACAAUGGGGGGAAGCCUGAUGCAGCAACGCCGCGUGCGGGAUGACGGCCUUCGGGUUGUAAACCGCUUUCGCCUGUGACGAAGAGUGAGUGACGGUAAUGGGUAAAGAAGCACCGGCUAACUACGUG